GCCAGCAUGGUGCAGUGGUUUAAGCAUUAGACUAAAACUCUGGAGACCAGGGUUUGAUUCCCAACUUGGCC